rnacentral:rRNA from 1 species
UACGGAGGGUGCAAGCGUUAUCCGGAUUUACUGGGUUUAAAGGGUGUGUAGGCGGACUUUUAAGUCCGUGGUGAAAUCUCCGGGCUCAACCCGAAAACUGCCAUGGAUACUAUUGGUCUUGAAUAUUGUUGAGGUGGGCGGAACGGGUCAUGUAGCGGUGAAAUGCAUAGAUAUGACCCGGAACACCGAUUGCGAAGGCAGCCCACUAAGCAAUGAUUGACGCUGAGGCACGAAAGCGUGGGGAUCAAACAGG